UACGUAGGUGGCGAGCGUUGUCCGGAUUUACUGGGCGUAAAGGGAGCGUAGGCGGACUUUUAAGUGAGAUGUGAAAUACUCGGGCUCAACUUGAGUGCUGCAUUUCAAACUGGAAGUCUAGAGUGCAGGAGAGGAGAGUGGAAUUCCAUGUGUAGCGGUGAAAUGCGUAGAUAUAUGAAGGAACACCGGUGGCGAAAGCGGCUCUCUGGCCUGUAACUGACACUGAGGCUCGAAAGCGUGGGGAGCAAACAGG
rnacentral:rRNA from 1 species